ACAAGAAAUCCACCAGUGUCGUAGGAGUGCAAAAGGUAUUAAUUAAUUCGGAAAAAAGCCAAAAUUAAUGUUGACUUUGACGCAAGUUAUAUUGGUAGUGCUUUUGGCAAUGGAAAACAAUAAGUUUCACAAAUAGGGUUAAGACCAUUUGAUAAAGUAAAUCUCUAUUUAAAUGAUAAGACCACGGCUGUGUAAUGAAGAAGCGAAGAAUUCUGAUCUGAAAUUAUAAAUUCCAAGGCAGAAAUUCUUAACAUAAAGAAAACCUCUGUCAUCAUAGUUAACUACUUGAAAGUGUUUUAAUGGAAGGAGUCGGUAGCAAUUGGGUUGAAUGGAUUGAAAGGAUAGGAAAUACGUACCAAAACACUGAA